rnacentral:rRNA from 1 species
AAUUCAAACGGAAAGCAAUAAAAAAACCUUUUUUUNUUAGGGNUCAAUUGGCGAACNGGUAAUUAACGCGGGGGAAUUUACCCUAUAGUUGGGGGACAACAUAUGGGAAACGUAUGGCUAAUACCCGAAUAUGCUNUACGGAGUUAAGGGAGCCCUCUUGCGGGAAGGUUUUCGCUAUAGGAUGAGCCCGCGUUGAGAUUAGCUAGUUGGUAAGGUAAUGGCUUACCAAGGCGACGAUCUCUAGCUGGGUUUUGGAGAGGAUGAUCAGCCACACUGGGGACUGAGACACGGGCCCAGACUCCUACGGGAGGCAGCAGUGGGGAAUAUUGCACAAUGAGCGGAAAGCUUGAUGCAGCCAUACCGCGUGUGUGAAGAAGGCCCGAGGGUUGGUAAAGCACUUUCAAUUGUGAGGAAGGUUCAGUAGUUAAUACCUGCUGUUCUUGACGUUAACUUUAGAAGAAGCACCGGCUAACUCUGAGCCAGCAGCCGCGGUAAUACAGAGGGUGCAAGCGUUAUU